UAAUUGAAGAGUUUGAUCAUGGCUCAGAUUGAACGCUGGCGGCAGGCUUAACACAUGCAAGUCGAACGGUAACAGGAGAAAGCUUGCUUUCUUGCUGACGAGUGGCGGACGGGUGAGUAAUGCUUGGGAAUCUGCCUUGUGGAGGGGGAUAACUACGGGAAACUGUAGCUAAUACCGCGUAAUAUCGAAAGAUUAAAGUAUGGGAUCUUCGGACCAUAUACCACGAGAUGAGCCCAAGUGAGAUUAGGUAGUUGGUGAGGUAAAGGCUCACCAAGCUGACGAUCUCUAGCUGGUUUGAGAGGAUGACCAGCCACACUGGAACUGAGACACGGUCCAGACUCCUACGGGAGGCAGCAGUGGGGAAUAUUGCACAAUGGGGGAAACCCUGAUGCAGCCAUGCCGCGUGAAUGAAGAAGGCUUUCGGGUUGUAAAGUUCUUUCAGCGAUGAGGAAGGGUAUAUAUCUAAUAGGUAUGUACAUUGACGUUAGUCGCAGAAGAAGCACCGGCUAACUCCGUGCCAGCAGCCGCGGUAAUACGGAGGGUGCGAGCGUUAAUCGGAAUAACUGGGCGUAAAGGGCACGCAGGCGGUUGUCUAAGUCAGAUGUGAAAGCCCCGAGCUUAACUUGGGAAUUGCAUUUGAGACUGGGCGACUAGAGUCCUCUAGGGAGGGGUAGAAUUCCACGUGUAGCGGUGAAAUGCGUAGAGAUGUGGAGGAAUACCGAAGGCGAAGGCAGCCCCUUGGAGAGAGACUGACGCUGAGGUGCGAAAGCGUGGGU
rnacentral:rRNA from 1 species